rnacentral:tRNA from 1 species
AAUUAAGAAACAAUAUUUUGUUUUCAAUUUCGACUUGAAUUUUAGGUUAAAUUAACCCUUAAUUG